AGUGAACGCUGGCGGUAGGCCUAACACAUGCAAGUCGAACGGCAGCACAGUAAGAGCUUGCUCUUACGGGUGGCGAGUGGCGGACGGGUGAGGAAUACAUCGGAAUCUACUUUUUCGUGGGGGAUAACGUAGGGAAACUUACGCUAAUACCGCAUACGACCUACGGGUGAAAGCAGGGGAUCUUCGGACCUUGCGCGAUUGAAUGAGCCGAUGUCGGAUUAGCUAGUUGGCGGGGUAAAGGCCCACCAAGGCGACGAUCCGUAGCUGGUCUGAGAGGAUGAUAGGCAAAACUGGACCUGAGAAACGGUCCAGACUCCUACGGGAGGCAGCAGUGGGGAAUAUGGGCCAAUGGGCGCAAGCCUGAUCCAGCAAUACCGCGGGGGUGAAGAAGGCCUUCGGGUUGUAAAGCCCUUUUGUUGGGAAAGAAAAGCAGCAGGUUAAUACCCCGCUGUUCUGACGGUACCCAAAGAACAAGCACCGGCUAACUUCGU
rnacentral:rRNA from 1 species